rnacentral:rRNA from 1 species
UAAUACGGAGGGUGCGAGCGUUGUCCGGAAUCACUGGGCGUAAAGGGCGCGCAGGCGGCUCUUCAAGUCAGAUGUGAAAGCCCCGGGCUCAACCUGGGACCUGCAUUUGAGACUGAAGAACUCGAGUUCGGGAGAGGAUGGCGGAAUUCCCAGUGUAGAGGUGAAAUUCGUAGAUAUUGGGAAGAACACCGGUGGCGAAGGCGGCCAUCUGGACCGAGACUGACGCUGAGGCGCGAAAGCGUGGGGAGCAAACAGGAUUAGAUACCCUGGUAGUCCACGCCGUAAACGAUGUGUGCUAGACGUCGGGAAGCCUAGCUUUCCGGUGUCGCAGCCAACGCUUUAAGCACACCGCCUGGGGAGUACGGCCGCAAGGUUA